GACGAACGCUGGCGGCGUGCUUAACACGUGCAAGUCGAACGGAAAGUCCCUGCUUGCAGGGUACUCGAUUGGCGAACGGGUGAAUAACACGUUGAGGAUCGGCCCUACACUGCGGGAUAAGCCUGGGAAACUGGUUCGAAUACCGGGGAGGAGCCAUUUUGAGUGUGGUGGGUGGAAAGUUUUUUCGGUGUAGGCUGAGCUCGCGGCCUAUCAGCGUGUUGGUGGGGUAAUGGCCUACCAAGGCGGCGACGGGUAGCCGGCCUGAGAGGGUGGACGGACACAUUGGGAUUGAGACACGGCCACGACUCCUACGGGAGGCAGCAGCGGGGAAUAUUGCACAAUGGGAGUAAGCGUGAGGCAGAGACGGCGAGUGGGCGAUGAUGGCCUUGGGGUUGUAAACUCCUUUCGCUAUCGCCGAAGCUUUUUGUGACGGUACCUAGAUAAGAAGCACCGGCUAACUACGUG
rnacentral:rRNA from 1 species